CCAAGAGAAGCCAAUAGCUUCAACACAGGGCACAUAGUGUCAGCCUCAGAUAUGUACAGCUCUCUCCACGUACAACUGUUUCCCUUUUAAAGGUGGCAUCAAUAGGGAUAGACAAGAAUUACAGAGAUGGCUAGUGAUAGAAAUAGAGAGAUAUAGAAAGAAGAGAUAUGUCGUAUGAUAUGGACUUGAUGGUCUGGAGUCAUCUGUGGCCACCUACUUGUAUGCUGAUAUUCUUAGCACAUAUGGUUCUGAAUAAAGAGAGGAAAAUUUUAUGAUGGUAACCUUGGAAAGCUGUCGAAGUGAACAGGCAGAAUGUCACCAAGCCUGAACCUUCUGCUCUCCUUCAGUCUCUUGAAAGUUUUCAAGCCCAUGCAGAACAAAGCAAGAAAUCAUUUCUCCAAGCGACUCUGUGAGUUUCUGGAUCUAUGAACUACUUCUCUGAGCCUCAUGACAAAGGACAGGAUGAGGAGAGAAAAGAUUUUCUGUAGUGAAUGAAGCCUGGCUUAGGAGAAGGAGUGUUAUUGCCCAUGAUGGCGUUGAAACCUUACUUGAUGCUGGUUAUUAACGCAAAUUCAUUAUGUUCACAAACAAGCGUGACCCGGGAACAUUUAAAAGUAUUGCCUUGAAAUGAUACUGAAAAAGAUGAAAGACAGAACUUUAUGCCUUUGACAAAAUUAAAUUGUAGUAAGCUGCACAGUGUUAAAGGUUGAUUAGGUCAUAUUCAUUAGGUUUCUAAUAUAUGUCAGCUUAGGCAGGAAUGACAUUCACAUAAUCCCAAAUACUCUUGCAAAGGAUGUGUAGCUUCUCUUAAUUUGCCUUUAGCUAGCACUUACUGAAUGACUUGUGUAUCUGAGGUGGAUAUUACUGCCUCUUCCAUCAUAUAGGGGAAGAAACCACAAGUUAAAAUGCCAAACCUAGAAGAAGCAAAGCUGAUUUCAAGUCUGAGCCAAGGCAUGGCACCACCCUCCACGCGCCCUUGAAGACCACUGCCACGUGGAAAGCAGGUUGUGGAUUGCAUGCCUGUCUACGGUGAGCAUGUCACAGCAUCUAUGUGGAGGUCAGAGGACAACUUGAAGGAGUGGUUCUCUCCUUCCAGCAUGUGAUCCUGGGUAUCAAACUCAGGUCCGCAGGUUUGUAGCAAGUGCUUUUGCCCACUGAGUCAUCUCACCAACCCUACUCUACGGUGCUUUAUGUAAAAGGAAAAUAAUAAUAUUUAAAACU